rnacentral:rRNA from 1 species
UGGGGAAUUUUGGACAAUGGGCGAAAGCCUGAUCCAGCAAUGCCGCGUGUGUGAAGAAGGCCUUCGGGUUGUAAAGCACUUUUGUCCGGAAAGAAAUCCUUGGCUCUAAUACAGUCGGGGGAUGACGGUACCGGAAGAAUAAGCACCGGCUAACUACGUGCCAGCAGCCGCGGUAAUACGUAGGGUGCAAGCGUUAAUCGGAAUUACUGGGCGUAAAGCGUGCGCAGGCGGUUUGCUAAGACCGAUGUGAAAUCCCCGGGCUCAACCUGGGAACUGCAUUGGUGACUGGCAGGCUAGAGUAUGGCAGAGGGGGGUAGAAUUCCACGUGUAGCAGUGAAAUGCGUAGAGAUGUGGAGGAAUACCGAUGGCGAAGGCAGCCCCCUGGGCCAAUACUGACGCUCAUGCACGAAAGCGUGGGGAGCAAACAGGAUUAGAUACCCUGGUAGUCCAGCGCCCUAAACGAUGUCAACUAGUUGUUGGGGAUUCAUUCCUUAGUAACGUAGCUAACGCGUGAAGUUGACCGCCUGGGGAGUACGGUCGCAAGAUUAAAACUCAAAUGAAUUGACGGGGU